rnacentral:rRNA from 1 species
CAUCGAGACUCCUACGGGAGGCAGCAGUAGGGAAUCUUCACAAUGGGCGCAAGCCUGAUGGAGCAACACCGCGUGAGUGAAGAAGGGGUUUCCGCUCGUAAAGCUCUGUUGUUAAAGAAGAACACGUACGAGAGUAACUGUUCAUACGUUGACGGUAUUUAACCAGAAAGUCACGGCUAACUACGUGCCAGCAGCCGCGGUAAUACGUAGGUGGCAAGCGUUAUCCGGAUUUAUUGGGCGUAAAGAGAGUGCAGGCGGUUUUCCAAGUCUGAUGUGAAAGCCUUCGGCUUAACCGGAGAAGUGCAUCGGAAACUGGAUAACUUGAGUGCAGAAGAGGGUAGUGGAACUCCAUGUGUAGCGGUGGAAUGCGUAGAUAUAUGGAAGAACACCAGUGGCGAAGGCGGCUACCUGGUCUGCAACUGACGCUGAGACUCGAAAGCAUGGGUAGCGAACAGGAUUAGAUACCCUGGUAG